rnacentral:rRNA from 1 species
GAUGAACGCUGGCGGCGUGCUUAACACAUGCAAGUCGAACGAAGCAUUUAGGACAGAUUACUUCGGUUUGAAGUUCUUUAUGACUGAGUGGCGGACGGGUGAGUAACGCGUGGGUAACCUGCCUUGUACUGGGGGAUAGCAGCUGGAAACGGCUGGUAAUACCGCAUAAGCGCACAAUGUUGCAUGACAUGGUGUGAAAAACUCCGGUGGUAUAAGAUGGACCCGCGUCUGAUUAGCUAGUUGGUGAGAUAACAGCCCACCAAGGCGACGAUCAGUAGCCGACCUGAGAGGGUGACCGGCCACAUUGGGACUGAGACACGGCCCAGACUCCUACGGGAGUCAGCAGUGGGGAAUAUUGCACAAUGGAGGAAACUCUGAUGCAGCGACGCCGCGUGAGUGAAGAAGUAAUUCGUUAUGUAAAGCUCUAUCAGCAGGGAAGAUAGUGACGGUACCUGACUAAGAAGCUCCGGCUAAAUACGUG